CAAUUAAUUUGAGGGGGAUAAUUAAUAAUUUAUAAAUAAUAAAAAUAAUUUUAAUAAUUAAAUGGGGGUUUAAGUAUUAAUAAAGAAAUAAUUAUAUAAUUUAUAGUUAAUAAGUAUUGUAAAAGAAAUUUGAAAUAAAUGAAAAUUAAUCAAUUAAUAAGUAAAUUUAAUUUAUUGUAUCUUGUGUAUCAGAGUUUAUUAAAAAAAUUAUUUAAAUAAAUAUUUCUCGAAUUAAAAAGAGUUAAUUAAUUAAUAAAGUUAUUGUUUCAUAAAUAUUUUAAAUAAUUAAUUAGAAAUGAAAUGUUAAUCGUUUUUUAAUAUAUCUAGUUUUUCUAGAAAAAAAUUUAAUUUUAUAUAAAUUUAAUAAAAUAUUUAAUUAAUUAAUUAUUUUAAAAUAAAAUUUAAUAGUUUAAGGGAUAAUCUUUAAAUUAAAUAUUUAUAAAUAUUAAUAAAAUAAAUGAAAUUUUUAAAAUUUAUAUUGUUUAGAAAUUAUAAUUUAUUAUAAAUAAUUUCAUUUAAAAAUAAAAUUUUAUAAUAAUUUAAAUUUUUAUAGAAAAAUAUUUUUUAUUAAUGUCUAAAUAGUUAUAAUGAUAAAAUUAGUAUAAAAAAUAAUUAAAUUAUGAAUAAAAUAAAAAAAAAUAAUUAAAAGGAAUUCGGCAAAAAUUUAUAUUCACUUGUUUAUCAAAAACAUGUCUUUUUGAAAAUAAUUUAAAGUCUAAUCUGCCCACUGAUUUAAAAUUAAAGGGCUGCAGUAUUUUGACUGUACAAAGGUAGCAUAAUCAUUAGUCUCUUAAUUGGUGACUUGUAUGAAAGAUUGGAUGAAAUAUAAACUGUCUCUUAAUUAUAUUUAUUGAAAUUAAUUUUUUAGUUAAAAAGCUAAAAUAAAAUUAAAAGACGAGAAGACCCUAUAGAGUUUUAUAAAUAAAUUUAUUAAUAUUAUAUUUAAAAUUUUUAAUUGAAAUAAAUUUAUUUAUUUUAUUGGGGUGAUAAAAAAAUAAAAAAAACUUUUUUUAAAAAAAAUCAUUAAUAAGUGAGUAAAUGAUCCAAAAUAAUUUUGAUUAAAAGAAAAAAUUACCUUAGGGAUAACAGCGUAAUUUUUUUUUUUAGUUCAAAUAAAAAAAAGAGUUUGCGACCUCGAUGUUGGAUUAAGGUAAAAUUUAGACGCAAAAGUUUAAAAUUUUGAUCUGUUCGAUCAUUAAAAUCUUACAUGAUCUGAGUUCAAACCGGUGUGAGCCAGGUUGGUUUCUAUCUUUAAUAAGCUAUAAUAUUUUAGUACGAAAGGAUUAAAUAUUAAAAUUAAAUUUAUAUUUUGGAAUUUUAAUAAAAAUAUUUAUAAAUAAAUUAAACUAUUUUGGCAGAAAAAU
rnacentral:rRNA from 1 species